rnacentral:rRNA from 1 species
GACGAACGCUGGCGGCGUGCUUAACACACGCAAGUCGAACGAUGAAGCCCAGCUUGCUGGGUGGAAGAGUGGCGAACGGGUGAGUAACACGUGAGCAACCUGCCCUUCACUCUGGGAUAAGCACUGGAAACGGUGUCUAAUACUGGAUAUGCACAAUGGCCGCAUGGUCUGUUGUGGGAAAGAUUUAUCGGGGAAGGAUGGGCUCGCGGCCUAUCAGCUUGUUGGUGAGGUAGUGGCUCACCAAGGCGACGACGGGUAGCCGGCCUGAGAGGGUGACCGGCCACACUGGGACUGAGACACGGCCCAGACUCCUACGGGAGGCAGCAGUGGGGAAUAUUGCACAAUGGGCGCAAGCCUGAUGCAGCAACGCCGCGUGAGGGAUGACGGCCUUCGGGUUGUAAACCUCUUUUAGUAGGGAAGAAGCGAAAGUGACGGCACCUGCAGAAAAAGCACCGGCUAACUACGUGCCAGCAGCCGCAGUAA